UUGGGAAUCUUGCGCAAUGGGGGAAACCCUGACGCAGCGACACCGCGUGGAGGAUGAAGGAUUUCGGUCUGUAAACUCCUUUUGCUAGGAAAGACUUAGGACGGUACCUAGCGAAUAAGCUCCGGCUAACUACGUGCCAGCAGCCGCGGUAAUACGUAGGGAGCAAGCGUUGUCCGGAUUUACUGGGCGUAAAGGGCGUGUAGGCGGUCUGUUAAGUGUGACGUGAAAUCUUCAGGGCUCAACCCGAAAAUUGCGUCGCAGACUGGCAGACUAGAGGGAAGCAGAGGUUGAUAGAAUUCCUGGUGUAGCGGUGACAUGCGUUGAUAUCAGGAGGAAUACCGAUGGCGAAGGCAGUCAACUGGGCUUUUCCUGACGCUGAGGCGCGAAAGCGUGGGUAGCA
rnacentral:rRNA from 1 species